UUGGUAAUUUGGUCGACAUUUUGACAAUUAUAUUUAGCAAUAUUUCGAUAAAUGCGGACCUGCUUCUUCCUCUUUUCGCAGUGACGGUGUUUCGAUAACUCAGUUAGACUUCGAGAUCUACAUUUUCGACAAAGGCCUGGUGUAAUAUUAUUACGUACUUGAUGAAGGUAAUAUUAAUUUCUUCAAAUUUGAAGCAUGACGUUAAUGGAGUACCAGCACAACUUCAUUGACUGCUACGUGGCGCUGGUGGAAACUAAGGUUUAAUGACACGAAUGAGUACAAGUACAUUACAUUUUUCGACGAAGGCCUUCUGUAAUUUCAUACGCUUCUUACGGUUAGUAUUGAUUCAUAAUUUCUAGUAAAAAAGUUAAUUUUGAAAGUGAAAAAUAUGUUACAAUACAAUAGACCUGCAAAUACCAUAUACGCAAGUUUUGAACAAAUAUCACACAUAUUCCCCAGUUGACUUGUGAUGAUAUUGAUAAUGGUGGUGGUGGUGUUAUCAUGUACAUGGCUUCUAACGUAGUAAGUGUUUUCUUUUCA